CCGUCUUCCUCCUCCUUCUCUGAGCUGCACGCCGACAUCAAACUGAUCUCACCUCCAUCCCUAGCCUCGAUCGGCGAUCAAAGAUUCCGCUUCUCCGCCGCCGUCGACCUCGCCGUCGUCUGAGCUGCGCGCCGACAUCAAACCUCCAUCCCGAGCCCUAGCUACUCGGUCGUCGUCUGAGGUAAGUGAUCCUCAUACUCUCUUUUAACAUUUAUUAAUUGCAUAUUGAUUGUUUAGUCCGAGCCUGGUACACCGAAUGCAUUUUGU